rnacentral:rRNA from 1 species
GUGGCCCCAAGUCAGGCAAGGCCACCCGCUGAGUUUAAG